GCCAUUUCCCUCCAACCACCCAUGGGGCAAGACUCCCACUGUGUGGGCAGGAGAUUCUCAGUUGUACAGGAUGGUUUCACAACUGUCACCUCUGCCCCAGAACUCACAACAAGAAAACUGCCAGUGGAGGUGAGACCAACAUGGCACUUGAGUUUUGUCAACUGGAAUCAGUAUCCUUUUAGAAGUCUCCAAGACAAAGCUUGGAAGUUCCCAGGAUUAAGGAGUAUGGCUAUGCACGCUCAUGCACACUAUGGCUUGAGUUUGGAUGUACAGAACAAAAUUGGCAGGAAUCAGUUCUCUUCGCCUGUGGGGACAGGGAAGCAAAGGUCUCCAGACUUGGCACACGACUACUCAUGCUGACAUGAUCUGUGGCUGCAGCAGUGGCUGGAGCACUGUCUCUUUCAAGAGCUGGUCCUUGUACCGCUAUGCAGAUGGCCGCUUACUCAUCCUGGAAAUAAUUGGAGACAAUUUCAAUGAGACACAAAGUCUACCGCCAGUCCCAGAGGCUCUGCAUGGCUUUAGAAGACAAGUUUCUAUAACAUGGUUUUGUAACAAUGGUACAAUAUGUUUUUCUAAAAUUGAGUUUUUUUUCACCAAUUCCUCAAAACAAUACAUUAAAAUGUGCUUACUCGUAG
rnacentral:lncRNA from 1 species